AGUCCAAAAACUACACUCGAAAGUGACAGAAUUGAAUGAACGAACCCAGCGCAUAGAAAUCGUAUCUUAUCACGCACCAAUUUUAUUGGGUCACUGAUUAACAAAACUAUUUGGGUUGCAUAAACGAACCAAAUUUGAUAACGCUCAACCUCAUAAAUCGGCCACCCUCCUACCGAACCAGCAAAAUAUCCACAGCUCCCAAAAAAAUAAGAUUUACAAACCAAAAAUUUGUAAUUGUAAAGAUGGCAGAACCCAACGCCAUUGUGGGACUCUUAUUUGCCUUUCUCGCCGCUCAAUUAAUCUCUACACAAAGUUUGAUCGUCAAUAUUUUCAACCGGGAAGAAUAUUCCUCAUAUUCAGAUAAAGCCUCCAAGUUUUUCAUCUGCGCCCUUGCCGCCAUGAUAAUUGGUCUCGUUCAGCUUUUUACCUCUGCCCUACUCACAUUUAAGGAGACUUUCAUGAAGCUUUGGGCUAUAAUAAAUGCCGUAGUUGCAUUCUGUUACGGGAUUAUAUUCCUCGUCAAACUAGUAAAGAAGGAGGAACUCCGAAAUAAUGACAUUGAAACGGAUAAGUUUGACACAAUGUUAAUUUUUAAUUCGCUCCUCCUAUCAGCCAUUAUUUUGAGUUAUUUCCUAGGAAAUAAGGUUAACGUGUAACGGAAUAUUUUAUUUCGCACAAUGAACGUUAAGGCAUUUCCGAACCGUCUGAUAAAUUUAUUAAUAGUUCAUCUCCAUACAUACAUGUGUUGAGAGAACAAGUUAUUCGAAUCUAAUAAAAAUAUUUUUUUCACUUCAUACGUAUCCCACAAUCGCAUCCAUCCAUCGCAUCCAUAUAUAUGCACAUAAGUAACUUUGGUUCAAGUUCACAUCCCAAAUUUCUUAGUCGGUCGGAUUGAACUUAAAUGACAGUUCGUGGAUUGGUUGAUUGCCAAAGGCAUGUCCAAGUGAUUACGAUGUAAAUUCCGUAAUCCUAUGAUACCUCCACUUGGUUUUAUUAGACAUGAACUAGAAGGUUAUUCUUCAUAUAUGACUUCAAAUUACCCAUAAUUAAAACAUUGAAGCGAUAGCUUAUCAAUAACCUUGAAGUCAAUCUUUCGGGACGGACAGACAGUCAAAGGAUGGGCUACUCUGAUUCAAUAUUUGUAUUAAUGAUAAGUAUAGAUUAAUAAAUCUGUGUGCCUACGCGUGCUUAAAUCGACGAAAUGUGAUAACUCCCAACCCGAUUAUUCCGUCACCAUCUCGUCAUAAAUUAGUCCAUAUUAAUUCCACCACAAAUCUUACUGUGUAAGAAUCUGUGAUUUUAAUAUACGAACUAAAUUGAUAAAGUGAAUAGGGCUUCCCACCGGACGGGAUGAGGGCAUCCCGUCCCGUCCCGAAAAUCUUCUGGACAUCUUGUUUCUGGUCGGGACGGGACGGUUGGUCAUCCCGUCCCGAAACCCGUCCCGUCCCGGUCCAUCCCGAUCGGAACGGGACAUCCCGAUUUUUCCAUUAAAUUAUUAAAAAUACCGCAAAUUUUUUUACGACUCAUAAUUUCAAAUAUUUUGAAAAUUUCCAGUAUCUUAUUAGUAGUUCAGUUUAUAGAAGUCGUUGUAUAAAUUCAAGUUACGUAAAAAAAUGAUAUAUGUUAGUAAUAAUUUCAUUUUCAAUUUGAAAUGAGUGUAAACAUGGUUAAAAAGUACAAAAAACUGAUCUAAAAAAUUUAAUUAAUAAAUAAAACUACAAUUUUAGUCAACAUUAAAGUUGCCCAUGAGGUGAGGCAAACUCACCUUAAAUGAGGUGAAAUAAGUUAUGAGGUGAGGUGAGUUGGAAUAUUCCUCAACUCAUUUAUAAAUGAGUGAGUUGAAAAUAUGAUGAGUUGAGGUGAGCUGAAGGUUGGUGAGGUGGGUUAACUCAUGAGUUGCCUCAUUUAACUCAUUUAGAAGUUUUCAAGAUUGACAAUUGUCAGAUUCAUAGUUUUUUCUCUAUAAUAUUAAUUCAAAAUUAGUAAUUGAUUAAUAGUAAUGAAUAAUUGAGUUGUUUUUACUAGUAGUAGACAUUUUUUGGUUGGUUUAUGGUUGUUUUGUGUAAUUUUAUGGUUUUUUUUCAACUCAUAUAACUCAUUUAACUCACCUCACUUAUUCGUGAGUUGAGGUGAGUUGAGGUGAGUUGCUAUUUUGGUCAACUCAUUAACUCACCAACUCACCUCACUUAUAAAUGAGGUGAGGUGAGUUGGGGUAUAACUCACCUCAACUCACCUCAUGGGCAACUCUAGUCAACAUAUUAAAUAUUUUCAAAGUAAACCCAAUUUGGUCAAAUGACAUUUGUGUUGGCAUUUGAACCCAAUCGUUAAAAUUACGGAGUAUUUAGAAUUUAUAAGUGCAAUAAAUGCAAAAAUUCUAUAAAUAUGAGAUUUAUAUAAAAAUUUUAAUAUCGCAACAACAUUUAAUGAGUUAUUUCUAUUAAUGAUCGAAAAAAAUUGGACAAAACUAAGAAUUUUUAAAGAAUUCGCGAUGUCCCGUCCCGUCGGGAUGGACCGGGACGGGACAAGCGUCGUCCCGACCCGAAACCUGUCCCGUCCCGAUUUGAUUUCUGGACAAAAAACUCGUCCCGUCCCGUACCGAAAAUUUCGGUAUUCGGGUUUUGGUUUCGGGAAAAUUUCGGUUUCGGUACGGGAUUUCGGUCCGAAAUCCCGUCCCGUGGGAAGCCCUAAAAGUGAAGAUUGGCAUUGUGGCUUGGAGUUCUUUAUCUUCCAGUAUAGUUCGGCAGGUCACUUUGUGUUUAUCAGGAAAUUAAAUUUAUUAUUGUUAGUUUUAAAUUUCGCACAAGUUUUUGUAUUAAAAAUUAAUAUUUCUCAUUUAUCUCAUAUUUCUCAGGGCCUAGUGAGAUAAUAGAUAUAUAUCAUUAAAUCUCAUUAAAUCUCACUAGGUGAUAUAUAUCACUUGCAACCCUGAACUGAGAUAAUUAAACUUUCAUAAUUUGAAACGUGCCCAGAUUCGCGGAAAAAGAUUCGCAACUUCAUCAAUUUGUAACUUUUUGAAAAAUCUUCAUCCCAAGGGGGCAGCCUUGGUAACUUUUUAGAGGCCGUAAUAAUAUAGAUUUUGUAAUUGUAGAGAUCAAGUAUUACGAUUAAUGAUUCAUUAUUACUGAAUUACUACGAGAUCACUUACAAAUUUUUACCGAUUAGUUAAAAAACGUCCUUACAUAUUACCAAUAAUAAAUUGUUUAACUUUAAAUAGGUAAACUUCACUUUAUCUGUGCAAAUAGUUACACAAAUUAUUUAGUUGCAUAAGGCUGCAUCACUCAAUAAUCAAUGGAUGACAUUAAACAUGUCAGAUAAACUCUGUUGGACACAAUAAGUCAAUUAUGGGCUUUCAUCGAAAAGGAGCCGAUCCGACCUUUUGCGACAUUAUUCAGUCUUAUUGAAGGAAGUAAAGUCGUGGUGCGGAAACGGAUAGUAAGAUUUAUUUUCAAAUAUAAAUAUCUAUUGCAGACUCUAAAAACUAUGGUAAUAACGUGUUAACCCGUGUUCUCUCUAUAUACAUUACUAUGUAUACAGCCAUGUUGGCAGGGCUUCAAUGAGACGAAUUACAGCAACCCGCGGAUGUUCGUAUUUAUUUCGGAUGAUGGAAGCAUAUUCUGCCACAAUGGGACAAUUCAUUCAAUUAUGUCUUUAAGGUUUACGGGACCGUUGGAAACAAUGACGCCUUCAAUUUCAAUUUACAGUGGGGCCAAUUUUGAUAUUUCGUCUGGAAUUGAACUAACUUUUACGGGUUUAUCUGCCACUAAUUUUGGAUUUGUUCCAAAAUAUGCGGUUCUUACUGGGAGGUCGAGUUGGACGGGAUUUGAAAACGAGGAUUUUACCGGGAACGCCACCUGUUUUGAAACAUUGCGAGAAAUUGAAGCCACAUUGUUGGGGGAAAAAGAGAUUAGGUCUUUCGCACAAGGAUGUAACGAUAGCAAAAUAUGAUAAUAAUAAAUAAUUGAGAUGUCGA